rnacentral:rRNA from 1 species
AUGGCAAUGGGAAUGGGGAUGGGUAGUGCUCGCCGCCUCCGGUGCGCCUCCCCUGCAUGCCUCCUCCUGGCCUUCCUCCUGGCCAUGCCGGGCCUCACCGCCGGCCUCACCCGCCGCUACACCUUCAACGUGACGAUGGCGACGGUGACGCGGCUGUGCACGACCAAGAGCAUCCCGACGGUGAACGGGAGGUUCCCGGGGCCGAGGAUCACGGUGCGGGAGGGCGACCGGCUCGUCGUCAGCGUCCACAACAACAUCAACAACAACGUCACCUUCCACUGGCACGGGGUGCGGCAGCUGCGGAGCGCCUGGGCGGACGGCCCGGCCUACAUCACGCAGUGCCCCAUGCGCCCCGGCCAGAGCUACGUCUACAACUUCCGCAUCGUCGGCCAGCGCGGCACCCUCUGGUGGCACGCCCACUUCUCCUGGCUCCGCGCCACCCUCCACGGCCCCCUCGUCAUCCUCCCGCCCCGCGGCGUCCCCUACCCUUUCCCCAAGCCCUACCGUGAAGUCCCCCUCAUGCUCGGUGAGUGGUUCAACGCCGACCCGGAGGCGGUGAUCAAGCAGGCGCUGCAGACCGGCGGUGGGCCCAACGUGUCCGACGCCUACACCUUCAACGGCUUCCCUGGCCCGACGUACAACUGCUCGGGCGGCGGCAACAGCACGUUCAAGCUCAAGGUGAAGCCCGGGAGGACGUACAUGCUGAGGCUCAUCAACGCGGCGCUCAACGACGAGCUCUUCUUCGCGGUGGCCAACCACACGCUCACCGUCGUGCAGGCGGACGCCAGCUACGUCAAGCCGUUCGCCGCCACCACGCUCGUCAUCUCGCCGGGCCAGACCAUGGACGUGCUCCUCACCGCGGCCACCAACCCGUCCUCCACGGCCUUCGCCAUUGCCGUCGCGCCCUACACCAACACCGUGGGCACCUUCGACAACACCACCGCCACCGCCGUCCUCGAGUACACCCCGCAGCGGCCCGCCGCGCUCCGCGGCCUCCCGGCGCCGCCGCUCCCGCGGUACAACGACACGGGCGCGGUGACCAACUUCUCGUCCAACUUCCGGAGCCUCGCGAGCGCGCGGUACCCGGCGCGGGUGCCGCUGAGCGUGGACCGGAGCUUCUUCUUCGCCGUGGGGCUGGGCGCCGACCCGUGCCAGAGCCCGGUGAACGGGACGUGCCAGGGCCCCAACAACACCCGGUUCGCGGCGUCCAUCAACAACGUGUCGUUCGUGAUGCCCAAGACAUCGCUCCUGCAGGCGCACUACCAGCGCCGGUACAACGGCGUGCUCGCCGCCAACUUCCCCGCGGCGCCGCUGCGCAAGUUCAACUACACCGGCACGCCGCCCAACAACACGUUCGUGACCCACGGCACCCGGGUGGUGCCGCUCGCCUUCAACACCUCCGUGGAGGUGGUGCUGCAGGACACCAGCAUCCAGGGCGCCGAGAGCCACCCGCUGCACCUGCACGGCUACGACUUCCACGUCGUCGGCACGGGGUUCGGCAACUACGACGCCGCCAACGACACCGCCAAGUACAACCUCGUCGACCCGGUGCAGCGGAACACCAUCAGCGUGCCCACCGCCGGCUGGGUCGCCAUCCGCUUCGUCGCCAACAACCCCGGUGUUUGGAUCAUGCACUGCCACCUGGACGUGCACCUGAGCUGGGGCCUGUCCAUGGCGUGGCUUGUCAACGACGGGCCGCUGCCGAACCAGAAGCUGCCGCCUCCGCCCUCCGAUAUCCCCACGUGCUAG